rnacentral:tRNA from 2 species
CACUAAGAAGCUAAAUUAGGAGACAGCAUUAGCCUUUUAAGCUAAAGACUGGUGGUUACCGCCCACCCUAAGUGA